AUCUGACCUGAUGAAGGU
rnacentral:miRNA from 1 species